UAAGUCUCGCAACGAGCGCAACCCUCGUGUUUAGUUGCCACUAUGAGUUUGGAACCCUGAACAGACCGCCGGUGUUAAGCCGGAGGAAGGAGAGGAUGAGGCCAAGUCAUCAUGCUCCUUAUGCCCUGGGCGACACACGUGCUACAAUGGGCGGGACAAAGGGUCGCGAUCUCGCGAGGGUGAGCUAACUCCAAAAACCCGUCCUCAGUUCGGAUUGCAGGCUGCAACUCGCCUGCAUGAAGCAGGAAUCGCUAGUAAUCG
rnacentral:ncRNA from 1 species